ACUCACAAACAAGAGGUUGCCUUCUGUCCAGCCCUAGUAUGAGGCUUGCUGUAGGCUGUUAUGUAAGGUGGAGAUGGUUUUGCUCAGACAAACUUUAUUACCAGCACCAAUGAGGGGAACCGAGAAUUCUGAGCCACUGUAGCUGACAUCACAGAACUCCAGCUGCUCUGUGGACUGUAUCCUUUUCUACCUCUGUCCUUAAAAGCUAUUGGAGCCCUUAUUAAAAAAAAAAAAACUGCUGCUGUGUACUUAGAGAGCAACUCUUAUUUCGAGUGAUUCUUUUACCUGAUAAGGCAUUUGGAUAUUUAUUCCUCUAACUCGACUCCAAUCCCCCUAUCUUUUUCGUGUUUUCCCAGGUAAAGAGGAAAAAUCUCCAAUCCACUCCCAUCUGUUUGCCUCAUCCAGCAGAGCUUCCAGGCCACAGAAGGCUCAAGACUACAAUAUAAUUCCUGAGACUGCCAAGACCUUGGGUCUGUAUAACACGUGUGCCCAGUACCCAAGAAAGCCAGAAGAGGAUAUCAGAACCCCUGGACUGGCAUUACAGACAGUCCUUUUCCAUCACCUCAGUACUGAGAACUGAACCUCAGUCCUCUGAAAGAGUAGCUAGUGCUCUUAACUGCUGAGACAUCUCUCCAGCCCCCAGAAGACCACGAGAGAAUGCCUACAAGUCACCAAGUGAAAGGCAUCUCUGCUCCUGGUUUGACACUUACAGUCUAGAAAGUUUCCAUGUGUGAUGAACAGGACCUCUGUCUCCCCUUGGGAGCUUAAGCGAGCUGUGGUAGACCACAAGAACCAAUGGAAAUACCUCAUCCUAUUUAUGCUGGAUCACAUUUCACCAUUUCUGACAGAUGCAGCUUUGGGGAAGAAUAUUAACGACCAUGGGGGACACAGUAGUUGUUUGGAGACACCCGCAAUAAAUAGCCAAGAACUAUUUC
rnacentral:lncRNA from 1 species